CCAAGAACGGGGCUCAGACCACUCGCUGGUACUCCGGAGCCCCUGCAGUCACGUUCGGACAGUGCCCGUAUUGUCCGAGGUGGUUAAGAAGAUGGGUAAGUUGAAGAGCUGCACCAAGAAUUACCCAAAUUGUGUGGUGACAGAGGUCAACAGGUUCCUCCGUUCACGGGCUCCGUCGUGGCCGGCUUCGUCGUCGUGCUUACAGAUCCGGCGCGAUGUCGUCAAUAACAGCACCGUGUCACCAGCUUCGACGUAGUUUCACCGUCUUCGGCGCGUCACCUUCGUGGUAUCACGAUUAAGGGCUGCGUAAACACUGC